UGCCAGCCGCCGCGGUAAUACGGAGAGGGCAAGCGUUGUUCGGAUUUACUGGGCAUAAAGCGCACGUAGGCGGAUCGGUAAGUCGGUUGUGAAAUCCCAGGGCUUAACCCUGGAACUGCUUCCGAAACUACUGAUCUUGAGGAUGAGAGGGGAGAGUGGAACUUCUGGUGGAGCGGUGAAAUGCGUAGAUAUCAGAAGGAACACCGGUGGCGAAAGCGACUCUCUGGCUCAUAUCUGACGCUGAGGUGCGAAAGCUAGGGUAGCAAACGGGAUUAGAUA
rnacentral:rRNA from 1 species